GCCCCCCUCCCACAUCGCCGUUGCUGCCACACACCGCGGAUCCCCUCACAUCCGGCCGGUGGCCAUGGCCUCCCGUAUCUCCCCGACAGCCGCCACUCCCGUACCCUCUCCAGUCCCCUCCCCUCCCAUCCCCUCACCAGAAGAGGAAGAGAAGAGGUAGGGAGACCGAGCGGCCGCCAUGGCGUGACCAGAUCCGCCACGGUUGCCCAUGGUUUCUUCGACCUGGGCCUCAUGGAGGUCGCCAUGGCCUGCUCCGUGCCGAUCCUAUCUUCCUCACCUCACAUCAGGCGGCGGCCAGAUCGAGGCGGAUUCGCGCCAUUGUCAAUGGCCUCGACGGAGGUGCUCGCAUGCCGGCUUCUUCCUCCUGCUUCUGCUCGGCCGCUGCCGACGACACAGAGCUUCCUAGCCUAGCAGGAAGGGGGAAGAAGAGACAGCGGGACGGAAGGAAGGAGGCCGCCUGGGAGCGACGUGUUGUACUCGACGGAGAUAGCUGACGCCCGGCUUGCAUUGACCAUAGAGGCGCCCCACAGAAUCUAGCCAGGACCUACAUCCUUGAAUCGGAAGGUGAAGCCAUACACCGAGUGUGUCAAUUAUGCACUGGCAACAUUGUUGAUACUAGCGGUGUACGCGAUGGUCCGGGCCAAGCAGAGAAAGAUAGAUCUGUAGAAGCUGUCGUCGUCACCGCUGCCGCUGUUGCAGGUGGAACAGGAAGAAGCCCUCAUGGCUGCUGCACAUUCGAAGUGGUGCCUAGUUUGUGCUCGUUACCGAGGGAGCUCCAUGUUGAACAAGAUUGAAGACACUUGUAGAGCUACAGGGUUAACACUAGGGCACCGUA